GGAAAGGGCCAUAGCCCAGUGAGAGAGCAUUUGCUUUGCAUGCAGAAGGCCCCAGAUUUAAUCCCUAGCCUCUCCC